GUCGGUAUGGCGGAAUUGGUAGACGCGCUAGGUUUAGGUUCUAGUGAGGUAACUCGUGGAGGUUCAAGUCCUCUUACCGACA
rfam:Prochlorococcus phage Syn1, complete genome.